rnacentral:rRNA from 1 species
CCUACGGGAGGCAGCAGUGGGGAAUAUUGCACAAUGGGGGAAACCCUGAUGCAGCGACGCCGCGUGAGUGAAGAAGUAUCUCGGUAUGUAAAGCUCUAUCAGCAGGGAAGAAAAUGACGGUACCUGACUAAGAAGCCCCGGCUAACUACGUGCCAGCAGCCGCGGUAAUACGUAGGGGGCAAGCGUUAUCCGGAUUUAUUGGGUUUAAAGGGUGCGUAGGCGGGAUGCCAAGUCAGCGGUAAAAAUGCGGUGCUCAACGCCGUCGAGCCGUUGAAACUGGCGUUCUUGAGUGGGCGAGAAGUAUGCGGAAUGCGUGGUGUAGCGGUGAAAUGCAUAGAUAUCACGCAGAACUCCGAUUGCGAAGGCAGCAUACCGGCGCCCUACUGACGCUGAGGCACGAAAGCGUGGGUAUCGAACAGGAUUAGAUACCCCAGUAGUC